rnacentral:rRNA from 1 species
GUGGGGAAUCUUGCGCAAUGGGCGAAAGCCUGACGCAGCAACGCCGCGUGCGGGAUGAAGGCCUUCGGGUUGUAAACCGCUUUCAGCAGGGACGAAAAUGACGGUACCUGCAGAAGAAGCUCCGGCUAACUACGUGCCAGCAGCCGCGGUAAUACGUAGGGAGCAAGCGUUGUCCGGAUUUAUUGGGCGUAAAGAGCUCGUAGGCGGUUUCGUAAGUCGAGUGUGAAAAAUCUGGGCUUAACCCAGUGGAGCACUCGAUACUGCGAUGACUUGAGACUGGUAGAGGAGUGUGGAAUUCCUGGUGUAGCGGUGAAAUGCGCAGAUAUCAGGAGGAACACCAACGGCGAAGGAAGCACUCUGUGCCAGUACUGACGCUGAGGAGCGAAAGCGUGGGGAGCAAACGUGAUUAGAAACCCGUGUAGUCC